rnacentral:rRNA from 1 species
GACGAACGCUGGCGGCGUGCUUCAUACAUGCAAGUCGAACGAGAAGUUACCUUCGGGUGAUGGAAAGUGGCGGACGGGUGAGUAAUGUGUAGAGAAUCUGCCCUUGAGAGGGGGACAACGAUUGGAAACGAUCGCUAAUACCCCAUAUGAGCGUAGCUGAAAUGCUAUUCUUGAAAACUCCGGUGCUCAAGGAUGAGUCUGCAUCUGAUUAGCUAGUUGGUGGUGUAAUGGACUACCAAGGCGACGACCAGUAGCUGGUUUGAGAGGAUGAUCAGCCACAAUGGGACUGAGACACGGCCCAUACUCCUACGGGAGGCAGCAUGGGGAAUAUUGGGCAAUGGGGGAAACCCGUGACCCAGCAACGCCGCGUGAAGGAGAAGGCUC